rnacentral:rRNA from 1 species
GACGAACGCUGGCGGCGUGCUUAACACAUGCAAGUCGAACGGAAAGGCCCCUUUGGGGGUCCUCGAGUGGCGAACGGGUGAGUAACACGUGCGUAACCUGCCCUUGACUUCGGGAUAACUUCAGGAAACUGGGGCUAAUACCGGAUAGGAAUCCUUGCUUCAUGGUGGGGGUUUGAAAGCUUAGGCUGUUUUGGAUGGACUCGCGGCUUAUCAGGUUGUUUGUGGGGUAGUGGCUUACCAAGGGUUUGACGGGUAGCCGGCCUGAGAGGGGGACCGGCCACAUUGGGACUGAGAUACGGCCCAGAAUCCUACGGGAGGCAGCAGUGGGGAAUAUUGCACAAUGGGGGGAAGCCUGAUGCAGCAACGCCGCGUGCGGGAUGACGGGCUUCGGGUUGUAAACCGCUUUCAGCAGGGGAGAAGCUUGUGGUGACGGUACCUGCAGAAGAAGCACCGGCUAACUACGUG